CCCGUUUCUGUUUCAGGAAUCUUCUGGUGAAUUUGGGGCUGUUCGCCGCUGGCGUCUGGGUCGCUCGGAACUUGACGGACAUCGAUCUGAUGGCUCCGCAACCCGGCCCGUAGCGGCGGAACGAAAUAGAGCGGCAAGGGAGAAGAGCUCGCCCCCCACACCCGAGGACCAGAAGAGACGUGUUUAGCCAUUACGAGUUACGAUACUUCACCAGAGUAGGGUCUGUUCUCCUUCUCUGCAGAGCUGCUACUCACACUUCAAAGCUGUCACGCUUAAAGCGGUGACAAGCAGGGGGGAAAAAAAAGGUUUUCAGUGUGAGAGAAUUUAUUUCUAAUUCAUUCUGCAAGGCACAAUGAGAAUAGUUUUGUCAAGGAUGUGAAGCCAUUGUGCGUGGAAUCUUCUGUACCCCUAUCUAAAUGUUUAUUAAAGUAUGUAGAAUAAUGACAUGACGCGCUGGAAUUUCAUUUUUUUUUUAAUAAGAAACUUCAGCUUACAAAAACAAGGUGUAAAAAGAGUAAAGAUUUACAAAAAAAUCAUAAAAACAUGAUUUGUAUUUCACACCCGAAAGACAAAGGAACAAGUCCAGUCCUGGGCUGUAAGCAGGACCCAUCAGCUACUUAUUCAAAGGAAAAACAAAACUGUGACAAGCCCUAGGUAAACUCUAACCACCAGAAGGUUUCCUGGGUAAAUGUCCGGAUGAGAUAAAGCUGGGACACUUCCUGUAAAGGAGAGAUGACUGUGUGUGGGAAGCAGCAGCCGUUUGGUGUUGCAUAGCAUUUUAGUGCCCUGGACUGGGGCUGCAGCUUGGCUGUUAUCAGCUUUAAAGUUCAGCUGUGGGUGGUGGAGCUGCUGGGGGGGGGACAGUGAAAGCACCACGCGGGGCUGACAGAGCCACGGCUGCGAUUUACUCACGUACGUUACCCGACAGCUCCUCCAACAUGCUGUUAGUGGAACAGAAUUAAUUUCCCAGCCCUGAGCAUUAUGGCAGUAGGACUGCAACAUGGCUUCAGAUUCUUUGGACAGUUUACACAACGGGGUUUUAGUUUAAGACAUUCUUCUGAAGUAGCGUUGCCUCCAUGUUUUGUGGCUGAGAACUGCCCCCUUACCUGCCCCAGAGAGAAAGUCAUUCCUCUACCAACACAGAUUCUUAAAAAUGCCGUUUUCAAAGCGGGUGUUCUAAUAUCCUGUAAAGAAAUUAAGGUCUUUUGAAGUAUGAACCACCCGAGUUAGGCAGAAACAGUUUCUGCAGGAAAAGGGGAUUAAUCAAGCCAUCUUAUAGUUAAUCUUAGUUUUGAUUUAGAACACACUAAUCUCUCGAGGCCUGGGUUCAGGCAGGGGGCAGUUCAUGCAGUUAAGUACAUAAGGCUGCCAUAGGUGACUUACUGGAUGUUAUCUUAACGAACCUUGACUAAAAUAAAAGCAGCUGAACCUGCGAUUAGGAGCAGCACACUUCCACUGAGCUGUGAGACAGCUAGACAGAUUGCCAGAAACAUUCAGUAAUUAAUUGGAUUCUCUUGUCGCUGCUGCCUGGGAGCGUCCUUGAAGCAAAGGCAGUCUCACUCAUGAGCACAGCAUGGCACACAUCAGCUUAAGUCAUUAGUGAUGUAAGGACCAGAAACUUGAAGUAGAAACUAGAGGCUGUUCUAACUUAAAGUCCCCAUAGAAGUCACUAAAAAAAAAAUAAAAAAAAAUCAGAAAACCCACCCAAGCUCCAGCCUGGCCUCUCACCCGAGAAAGCAGCUCAGCAUUUCGCUCCUGUUUUCACAAGGGCUGCCGGGGGAUUUCAUACUGAGGGAAAACUGCUCGUCUUCUACCCGGCCUCUGCCAACAACACCCUUCCAGCUGCCUUAACUUAGAGCGGGAUUAACUUUUUUAAAGUGCUGAAGAUUACCUUUAAUUCUGCUCUUACUCAAGUCAAGAGUGAAGCUUCCAGGGCUUUAGCAGAAGUGGGGUCUCCCCGGCAGCGUCCUCCCCAGGCCCACUGCACCUUAAGGGAGCUCGCCCACGCUGUGCUGCUCUCUGAGCAGCUGUUUGAAGUUUCUAAGUUGUUUAAGUUUCUUUUAUGGAAAGGCAGACCUGUAAAAAAAAGUUUUACUGGAAACAAAGUUGUUCCUUUCCUGUAAACUGCUUGUUAGAUGUAUAGAAGGCUGUGGCUUAAAGAGUUUUUGACUGCUUAAACAAAGCUGAAGUUCAUCAGGGAUAAAAAAUAGGACCUAAUUCUCUUUUACAUGGGCUCUAGGUUGCCAGUGGUAAAUUACUGUAGUUGACACAUCUGAUAGACUAGGCCAAAAAUUGGGUUUUCACAUGGAAAUAUGUGGUUCAUCACAGUAGGAAAUAGCCUUAAGGGUCAGGCCUAGUAAUGCCAUUUAAUAAAUGAAGAUGACACUGUGAAAAUGCCAUUCUUAAAUCAGAGGCGUGGAGUUAUGCAGCCCAAACACUACAGUAAUUACUGUACAAUUAAUCGUCAUUUCUCUGCUGCUGAUUUUGUUGAGCAGCUCACCAGGAGCCUGUGGGGACGUCACCCACGUGCACAGCUCUCACCUGCCCAUGCUGUGGUACAUUCUUGACCCUUGUCCAGCCACCAACAAGACACAGAUUUGUACCGACACAGCUGUGGCCGUACAGAUUAUCCCCAUGGUAUGGAUAUGGUUAUCUAGAGGAAAAAAGGCUAGCCUAAGUACAUCAGGCUUAACUCUGCUCAUGUUGAAUGGAAUGGGUGUUCCUCUUUAGCAGGAGCAACGUUCAGAAGCCCCACGCUCCCAAAAAAGAGAGGCUCACACAGAAAUUAGUGGUUAAAGCAGGAACAGAAACAAGAGGAGACCUUUUCUACUUCAGUCCUAGUUCGACAAGUCAGGGCACAGCACUUCAGCAUAGGAAAAAUAUCCAAUUCACCACCUGCCCCCUCUAUUGGAAGUCGGUUAAUCAAGACUAAAAAUUACAAUUGUAAAGUCAUCAACUGUAUCGUGUACUUUCUCACUUCCAGUUAUGCAAAGCAUUUACAGUGACGUUGUGGGCUUUAGGUAGCUCCUUUAUAAAACUUGAGAAUUUGGGGUACUGUUCCUUAGGAACUGAAAUAUGUAAUGGAAAAGCACCAUUGUUUUGCCAGUAUGAAGCUACCGAUCAGAGAAAGCUUUUACCACAAAAACUAUAGGAGGUUGCUGCUAAUGAGACUGAUUUUGUUAAUAAUGUCUCUGCCUGCAAACACGCAGUUCUCCAACACGCAGCGUCCCCUUGGCAGAGGCUUCCUGUCUCAUCCAAACUGGGAUCCCAGCUUACUGCCGUGGGCUGCCUGGCUUUGUUUUUUACUGAUCACUUCAGCCAUCCCAACUCCUUCCCUACUCCCAGCCCGCACAAAAUGAGUUAGCAGAGCAGUUCAAGAAGCACUUUGUAACUGCAGUGCAUUCUUGUAUCACGCACAAGCUUCAAACAAUCAAUAGUUAACAGUGGUUAAAGUCGAUCAGGGGCCCUUUUUGUUUUUUCCUUUUUCUCUUCUCCCCCCUGCCUUUUGGAAAGGUACAUUGCAAAGCUCAUUUGUGUGACUUAAGAACUCUUCUGAAAGAAUUCUGGCUCAUGUGGAAUCCAUACACACACACACAAAAAAAAUAAAAAAUAAAAAUCAGUACAGCAGAAGGAGCAGCCUAAAAGCAUACCCCUAAAAUCAACCGAGACAAAUAAUCACUAGUUGCUACAGGUAACCAACAUACAUAGCGUUUGAUCAUUUAAACAUGUGGUUUUAUAAAUUUAGAAGCUUGCUACAAUGCUUCACAUUCCCAUCUGCAAUAAACAGGUAUCAAUAUUAAUGUAAUAGACACCAAAAAACCCACUGAAUUGAGGUUUUAUAUUCCCACAGGCAAUAAAUUAUCAACCUAAAUCCGUCCUAUCUGAUCUCCAACCUGCUGAAGGGAUUAGACGCGCACACAAAGGCGGUGUUCAGAGCUGCUGCUUGGAUUUUACUAUUUACUUUGAAGAAGGGACACUUGGCCACCUUACACAACCGUAUCUGUUGCAUAUUAAAUUCACACAGGCAUUACCACGGCAUGCUUUUGCUCACGUGUGGAAGUAUUUACUAGGCUGCUGAGAGGAAACCCGUGCAAACACUGCCAUGACAAUGGGAAUGUUGGUUUGUUUUUUUGUUUUUUUUUUUAAUUUUUUAAACCAGCAAUUAGGUUUAUAACAGAAGGUGCUUCCCAAAGCUACAGCUACUCUAGCAAAAACCCUGCUGGAGUUUUUUAUUCCUUGCCCUAUGCUACAUGCUCUGACACAUGUCAACUUACUGACCAGACUGGAGGGGCCUGGGUGACGUAAGAAAAUCUCAAAGGCCAAAUCUAAUCCUCCUCUGAACAAGCUGUUAUUUGAAGUAUUACAAAUAGCAAGAUUUCAAACAUGUAACACUAAAAUACUGGCCUCUGAGCUUGCUGGUAAGCUUCAUUCACAUACAGAUCCGAAAUGUAAAAAAUGUCAGUGAUACUGAGUACCUGUAAAAACACCCAAGUCUGCUGCUUCAGUCAGGAGGGGGGAAUUCACAACUUAUUUCCCAAUGUUUCUCUCCCAUGCAAAAUAUUAUUGAUACAAGGCACCAAAUCUAAGGAAUCAUACAAAAUUAGUUCACGAAAUCGUACUGGCAGGUAAAACUAAUCUCCCCGUCUCUUGCUUACGUAGUUCUCAUUCUGCUCCACCACUGACUUCUGCUGGACGGGUAACUACAACAUCAGCCAGAAGUUUCAUUAGUCUCUCAUUGGGAUGCAAUUAAGCAUAUUCAGGCCUGGGGAUGCUACAAUCAAGAAAAGAGUUUCUAAAUUACCACCAGGACAAUAUUUACUCUAGAAGCCUUGCCUUCUAAAAGCAAAAAAAAACCUCCCGAUAGCGAGUCCAUAGGACACACUUAAUGCUUUUACCAUUUCCAAUUUUAUUCCUACACUCAAAAAAACCCAUCUGGAAGUCCCUAAGUGGGGGUGGUACCGCCACCCAGAAAAGUCUGAUGUCAAGCAUUUAAUAUGCAUUACUCCAUUUGCUGCCUCACAUUAUCCAUUUCAAAGCCGGACCAGAGAAUUGUUCUGGUCAGAACUAACGGGGAAAAAAGUUGGGGUUUUUUCUACUGCUUUGCAGAGAACCUGUUUUUGCAGCAUGCAUAGUUUAACUUGGGAAUACCGGCAGUAAAGGGAUAACAUAAAGGCAAAUUUAUGUAACUAACUUGCUAGUGGAACGAAGUUAGCUAAAAGGAAGUGGUUUCCAACAGCUACAGCGGAUGCUGUAUCAUGUCUGGCCAUGAAUACAUUAAGAUUCUUCAUUCUUAAAAACGUAAAACUAAGGAAUGCCGAUGUAAUUACAAGUUGAAUGUGGAAUAAGGGUAUGUUGGGAACAGUUCUGUCCCAAAGACUGCAUGCUCAGGAGCCUGACAAUCUGCCAGCAUACAGUGGCUUCCUAUGCCCUCAAGACAAUCACCUACAAGGACCUCACACUCGCCCUGAGCAUCUCUCAAGGCAACUGACUCCUUGCUACAAGACUGGAACCCCACUACUCAGAGAAACCAGUUCUGCUCCCAUUCGUACCAAAAAAAUAAAAAUUAAAAAAAUAGAAGUUUUUAUGUUGCAGACACUUAGUUUGCAACUCACGCCUGUGGCCACUGAACUCCACGCAGGAGUUAAGUCACAUCAUCUGCCUGUGUGUUUGCAGAAGCAGAGCCUAAAUCUGGAAUUAUUCUAAACAGACAUCGGUGGAUUAGCAGGGUUUGAAGCCAUACCGUUAAAAGGAGGGACAAAGUUUGCUUUACGGGCUACCCUUUGUCACUUAAGUGGGCUUCACUGUAGUUGCAAGUAGUAUUUCCAUCUUGCUGACGUAGAGAGGUAACUUCCAGUCAGGAUUUCUGGCAAACAGGACACUAUAAAACAGUGUCCACCACGGAGGGAGCAUUGGGCUAUGCUUAUAUAAAGAAGCCUGCAGUAGACAAAUAUAAACCAAACAGCAUAAAAAAUGCUAUACGCUAUCGCUUCCAAAUAAAAGCUAAAUAUUACAGAAACCUCACAGUGUUGGAAAAAGCAAGUUUAUUUACUUUGAAGUAUAAUUCAUUCCUUCCCUAUCAGGGCAAUCAUUUUUCUGACUGCAGUAUCUCCACAGCUCAGCGCAACUAGGCUAACGUCACAUGGAGAGGCCACUAAUGUCAAAAUGAUGUCACCAGCAAAUGCUACAAAAAUCUGCUCGGGCAAUCAGAUGCAGCAACGGCUACAGUCAGAAGAUGGAGUCAAUACUAAUUCAGCUGCAGAAAGAGACUGCUGGAAAAAUCACAAAAACCCCGCGGAUGUUAUUCAUGAAUAGUUCCUGUCCAGUUUCAAAACACUUUCUGUUUAUCUCAUCAUCCCAAGGAUACUGAGAAAAGACACCCAGCUGGAGCGGCUCCACAGAUUUACAUCGCAAGAGAAAAUGAAGCAUUCAUGCUGUUAACAGCAAGCAAUAAAAGGCAUUCCGAAGGGCCGCAAAGCAAAGAGCAGCAAUCUGUAGCUUUAUGCAAAAAUAAAUUAAAAAAAAAAAUUAAAAAAACAACCCCAUGCUACUAGCAAUACAUUCUGGGAAACAAAGUACUGAAUGUCAGGAAACUUGAUUCCAAACAACUCUGAUCAUAAAGCUUUACAACACCCUACGUUUAUGGAAUAAAACACGAGUCUCUUGAAUUUGUUUCCCCCGUAACAAG